AAGCGUUGCGAGUAGAAGCAAGAUGAGAUGAAAUGAGUAAAAGGGAUAAAGGAUUCAGAAGAAGAAUAAGGCGAGGUGAUGUUUGGGAAACGUUACAGUAGGUGUGGCCGCAGUGAUUCCUAAUCGUUAUUUGUCUCCCUCAAAUGUCGCAGGCCCAAAGUCCAAUCAGCCCAAUUUCCGAUACAUCAUUACCAUAACCAACAUUUGGUACCCCUCACUCAUCAAACGGCAGGGAACGCCCCUUUCUUAAUCCGACGCUCAUCAUUCCAUCAUAUCCUCUUUCUCUUUCUCUCCGCCCACACCAUUGCACACACCCUCUCUCUCUUUAUCAUGUCGUUCGUGGUCACUUUUGUCUUCUCCUUAAACGUCACAUUCACGUUCACCCUUCAGAGUAAAUGUUAUUGCUAGCUCAUCACCAUUAAUAAAUAAUUUUGCUUUGCUUGACUUCAUAGUCAUAUAAGAUAGAUAGAUUUAGUAGGAAAAAAAAAAAAAAAAACCAACCCCAAAGGUAAAAAAGUGUUUUCAAGAGUGUGACUUGUGACAUUUAAGGGUCUGUGUGUCGGAGGAGAAAAGCUGCUAUCCAUCAUCUUCAUUUCCCAAAGGGUGCAAGUGCAACUAUUACAAACUUCAGUCUUCAGACUCUGAGCCUGAGGUGUGUGUAUGUGUGUGGGUGAGGGUUGGGAUCUCAUACGUGUCAUUGCUACAUGUUGCAUGAUACACACUGUAAUUGUUCCCUACCUAUAGGUCAGAAAAUCAAAGUUUUACUGCCACCCAGCAGACUCAUAGCAACCCUUUUAGAUUUGAGUAUACACUCCAUUUUUUGGGUGUAUGAAUGGAAAGAGAGGACAAAGAAGAAAAACAUGAUGUGAUGGGAUAUAAAGAGAAAGAUAGGAAGAAAAUGAGGUGAAAAUGAAAUGAAAGAGAACGCGAGCAAAUGUUAAGUAUUUUCCUUCAGAUUCUAUUACUUGUGUCCCAAGUGAAAAUUGAUUCAAACGUUUUGUUUCCAUGGCUUGCAUUUUGUAUAAAUAACAGAAAAUUUAUACUAAAGAACUUAAGAUUGCAAAUAUGAAUGCUUUCAUUCUUGUAUAUUUUUAGCAUUCUAUGUGGAAGUGUGUAUAUUCAACAAAGAAGUUAAUCAAGAGGCUAGCUAUUUGAUUUGAGAAAACAUUUUUUAUUUGCACUUCAAAUUACAAAAACAAUGCUAGGUCCCUUGUUUUCACUUUUUUUCUAUACAAACUUUUGAAAAUAGAAAAUAAAGUGACAUUUUUGUAAUUAAAAAUAAAAAAUGUUUUCAAACCAAUAUUUUAGUUAAUUGGAUUCAUUUUCAUUUCAGAACCGACUUAAGAAGUUAUAAGUAGUGUUUUGAUUUUCCAAAGAGCUUCACUUGAAAUUGUGUUAUUUUUUAUUUUCAUUCUGUUUCAUGGUUUAUAGGUCAAAGUGAUUGUUUAAAUUAUGCGUCCACUUAUUAUGUACCUGCUUUCUCUAUUUGUGCAAAAUCUUAUAUAAUCUUAGCAGCUCAUAUUGAAUAUUUCAUCGUUUUGUACAACUUCUUUUGAUAAGAAAUUCAAAUAAUGAUUGAUAAGGCUAUAGUUUUAAAUUUGAUUGUCCAAUUUUUUCUUUCUAAAAAUAUUUAGGCCAAUGAUUUAGCCUCAUAACUUUAUCUUUUUUUUUAAAAAAAAAAAUCUAGUGCACCAAAGUUACAAAACUUUAUAGUGAAACUUUAAUUUACAAUUAAGGAUGUACUUGUAUUUUUUUUAAUUAAUGUUUUGUGACCAACCAUUUUCAAGUGACAUUUUGGAGCUCAGUAAUUAAGGAUCAAAUGGAAGCUGGCAUUGAGACAAUAGCUUAAUUCAUGGUGACAUAACAAAAUCUGACAAAGUGUGGUCAAAGUUGUCAGAAAAGCCAGUAAUUAUGAAAAAUAUUUUUGUCAAGUUUUGGCUAAUUGAUACUUUUUUUUUCUCACAAGUCAAGUAUUAUCAUUUCAAAAUUGAUAUCUCUUCCAUGCACAAUUUUUAUUCUUGCUUGUCUUCUCCCGUCUUCAUUGCUGUCCUCAGUAGGUAUUUGCAUUGAACUUACCAAUUAUUAAUAAUAUUAAUUCAUUUAUUAUUAGGAGUUUAUUAUAGUCUGUUAAGUUGUAAAGGUAAAUAGGAUCAAAUUUAAUAACCUAACUCAUUUGGGUGUUUCUAGUAUUUUUUUUUUUCUGCACAAGUUAUCAACUUUUGAAAACUUGAACUUUUGGACUUACACUGAUUUCUAGUUACUUUUGACUGACAUUUAAUUUUGUGUCUGCUAGUAAUUUUCUAUUUACAUGCAGAUAUAGGAUGAAGAGUUGGAUUCAUCCUAAUCACUAAACAUACAUGGAUUGAGAAGAUGUCAUUUUAUAUUUGUGGUGAAUAAUUUUGUGUUCAUGCCUGUGUCACUAGUUGAUCAAUUAGUUCCUGAAGAGAAAGCUAGCAAAAUCCACCCUUGGAUUGUAGUGGGGUAGCUGACAAAAUAUCGGGAUGAUUGGAAUUUGAAAAUGCUAAAGGAAUAAAAGUCGAAAGUACUUGUGCUGACCUUACUUUAGGUUUGUGGGAACAUUUCACCCUUGAAGAAAAAUUUGAUAUCAUGUUUAUCAUUAUGUGAAUAACCCUUACAUUGUACUUUAUUUAUUUGCCUUGUGGUAUGCGAUGUGUUGUUUCGAAAUAAUUUGUAAAGAUUUAUUUCUUACUGUUUUUGUUUGUGAAGUAUUUUUCAGUCUUUAUGUUUUCAGCUUAGAAUGAAGUAUCUGCACAGAUGCUGAAGACAAUAAUGAGUUGAUUAUAAGGGAAUUUUAUCUCAAACCUCUCUCACUUUUGAAGUGCCAAGACGAAGCAUAUCUAAAGACUAAAUUAUGGUUUAUGAUAUGAGGAUUGUGUGGCUGUAAUUGCUGCUCUCUUCAAAUAUCAGUAACUGUGCAGGUCGUUGAAACUUGCAAGUUGAGCAGGGAAUGUGGUAUCCAUGUCAUCAUUAUCAUUAGGAGAUAUUUUUGGAACAACUGCUUUGAAUUUAUCAUCAUUUUUAAACUACUACUCAGUCUGUAAAUGUUAGCCCAGUUUUAGGCACGAGGCGCAAAUUAACCAGUUGGAACCAAAAAAAUAUGCUUUUACUAUUAGAAUUUUGUGUUCAGAUUCUGAAAGUAAAAUUUCCUUGUGUUUUUCUUUUUAUAUAAGAUUAUUGGUAUUCAAAGUUCAAA